GUAGGUGAACCUGCGGAAGGAUCAUUAACACGUAUCCACGUAAUAACCCGAGAACGAUGUUCUGAACAAGUGGGAAUUGAGAAGGCCUUGACGGCUUUUUCAGACCCGCUUUUCGAACAAACCUACAGAGGGCUUAGAGGCCUUAUCGAAUGCGGCGGUCGCUACCCGCUGUGAUUGGUGAGGAAUCUUUGCUUUUCUGUGCCUCGUUUUGUCGGGCCUUCGGGUCUUGACAAAGCGGAUUGAAACUCCU
rnacentral:misc_RNA from 1 species